rnacentral:rRNA from 1 species
AUGUACAUUCAUACAACAUAUCAUUAAUGUACCGAAUCCCAUUAGAACUCCGCAGUUAAGUGUGCUCUUAGACUAGAGUGGUAUUGGGAUGGGUGAUCGCCUAGGAAGUCCUAGUGUUUUACAUG